rnacentral:rRNA from 1 species
GACGAACGCUGGCGGCGUGCCUAAUACAUGCAAGUAGAACGCACAGUUUAUACCGUAGCUUGCUACACCAUAGACUGUGAGUUGCGAACGGGUGAGUAACGCGUAGGUAACCUGCCUGGUAGCGGGGGGUAACUAUUGGAAACGAUAGCUAAUACCGCAUAAUAUUGAUUAUUGCAUGAUAAUUGAUUGAAAGAUGCUAUUGCAUCACUACCAGCUGGACCUGCGUUGUAUUAGCUAGUAGGUGAGGUAACGGCUCACCUAGGCGACGAUACAUAGCCGAACUGAGAGGGUGGUCGGCCACAAUGGGACCGAGACACGGCCCAGAAUCCCACGGGGGGCAGCAGUAGGGAAACUUCGGCAAUAGACGAAAGUCUGACCGAGCAACGCCGCGUGAGUGAAGGAGGUUCUCGGAUCGUAAAGCUCGGUUGUAAGAGAAGAACGGGUGUGAGAGUGGAAAGUUCACACUGUGACGGUAUCUUACCAGAAAGGGACGGCUAACUACGUG